rfam:Bacteroides salanitronis DSM 18170, complete genome.
ACAACAGAAGUUGUGAAACUUCUUAUUGAAUAGUUUAGUUAAGUCUAGUUUAGUUUUUGUGUUGUGAUACUCCAACCAUUAGAGAAUGGCUGGAGUAUCUUUUUU